rnacentral:rRNA from 1 species
CCUACGGGCGGCAGCAGUGAGGAAUAUUGGUCAAUGGGCGCAGGCCUGCACCAGCCAAGUCGCGUGAGGGAAGACUGCCCUAUGGGUUGUAAACCUCUUUUAUACGGGGAUAAUAAUGACUACGUGUAGUCAGAUGCCAGUAUCUUAUGAAUAAGCAUCGGCUAACUCCGUGCCAGCAGCCGCGGUAAUACGGGGGAUGCGAGCGUUAUCCGGAUUUAUUGGGUUUAAAGGGUGCGUAGGCGGUAGUUUAAGUUAGUGGUAAAACGUCGGGGCUUAACCAUGAUUGGCCAUUGAAACUGGAGUACUAGAGUACAGACGAGGUAGGCGGAAUAAGUGAAGUAGCGGUGAAAUGCUUAGAUAUAACAUAGAACCCCGAUAGCGAAGGCAGCUUACCAGACUGUUACUGACGUUGAAGCACGAGAGCGUGGGUAGCGAACAGGAUUAGAUACCCCAGUAGUC